rnacentral:rRNA from 1 species
CGCAACGCGAAGAACCUUACCUGGGCUUGACAUGUGGGUGACCGGCCUGGAAACAGGUCUUCCCUUCGGGGCACCUUCACAGGUGGUGCAUGGCUGUCGUCAGCUCGUGUCGUGAGAUGUUGGGUUAAGUCCCGCAACGAGCGCAACCCCCGUCGCAUGUUGCCAGCAUUUAGUUGGGGACUCAUGCGAGACUGCCGGUGACAAACCGGAGGAAGGUGGGGAUGACGUCAAGUCAUCAUGCCCCUUAUGUCCAGGGCUACACACGUGCUACAUUGGCGCGUACAAUGGGCUGCGAUACCGUUAGGUGGAGCGAAUCCCUUAAAGCGCGUCUCGGUUCGGAUUGGAGGCUGAAACUCGCCUCCAUGAAGGCGGAGUUGCUAGUAAUCGCGGAUCAGCAUUGCCGCGGUGAAUACGUUCCCGGGCCUUGUACACACCGCCCGUCACACCAUGGAAGCAAGCAACACCCGAAGCCGGUGGCCUAACCCUUUUGGGAGGGAGCCGUCGAAGGUGGG